rnacentral:rRNA from 1 species
AGAGUUUGAUCCUGGCUCAGAUUGAACGCUGGCGGCAUGCCUUACACAUGCAAGUCGAACGGCAGCGGGGACUUCGGUCCGCCGGCGAGUGGCGAACGGGUGAGUAAAGUAUCGGAACGUACCUUUCAGUGGGGGAUAACGUAGCGAAAGUUACGCUAAUACCGCAUAUUCUGUGAGCAGGAAAGCAGGGGAUCGCAAGACCUUGCGCUGAUUGAGCGGCCGAUAUCAGAUUAGCUAGUUGGUGGGGUAAAGGCCUACCAAGGCGACGAUCUGUAGCGGGUCUGAGAGGAUGGUCCGCCACACUGGAACUGAGACACGGUCCAGACUCCUACGGGAGGCAGCAGUGGGGAAUUUUGGACAAUGGGGGCAACCCUGAUCCAGCCAUGCCGCGUGAGUGAAGAAGGCCUUCGGGUUGUAAAGCUCUUUCGGCCGGGAAGAAAUCGCAUAGGUUAAUACCCUGUGUGGAUGACGGUACCGGAAUAAGAAGCACCGGCUAACUACGUGCCAGCAGCCGCGGUAAUACGUAGGGUGCGAGCGUUAAUCGGAAUUACUGGGCGUAAAGCGUGCGCAGGCGGUUUCGUAAGACAGAGGUGAAAUCCCCGGGCUCAACCUGGGAACUGCCUUUGUGACUGCGAAGCUAGAGUACGGCAGAGGGGGGUGGAAUUCCACGUGUAGCAGUGAAAUGCGUAGAGAUGUGGAGGAACACCGAUGGCGAAGGCAGCCCCCUGGGCCGAUACUGACGCUCAUGCACGAAAGCGUGGGUAGCAAACAGGAUUAGAUACCCUGGUAGUCCACGCCCUAAACGAUGUCAACUAGGUGUUGGGUGGGUAAAACCAUUUAGUACCGUAGCUAACGCGUGAAGUUGACCGCCUGGGGAGUACGGCCGCAAGGUUAAAACUCAAAGGAAUUGACGGGGACCCGCACAAGCGGUGGAUGAUGUGGAUUAAUUCGAUGCAACGCGAAAAACCUUACCUACCCUUGACAUGUUCAGAAUCCUGGAGAGAUUUGGGAGUGCCCGAAAGGGAGCUGGAACACAGGUGCUGCAUGGCUGUCGUCAGCUCGUGUCGUGAGAUGUUGGGUUAAGUCCCGCAACGAGCGCAACCCUUGUCGUUAAUUGCCAUCAUUUAGUUGGGCACUUUAACGAGACUGCCGGUGACAAACCGGAGGAAGGUGGGGAUGACGUCAAGUCCUCAUGGCCCUUAUGGGUAGGGCUUCACACGUCAUACAAUGGUCGGUACAGAGGGUUGCCAAGCCGCGAGGUGAAGCCAAUCCCAGAAAGCCGAUCGUAGUCCGGAUUGCAGGCUGCAACUCGCCUGCAUGAAGUCGGAAUCGCUAGUAAUCGCGGAUCAGCAUGUCGCGGUGAAUACGUUCCCGGGUCUUGUACACACCGCCCGUCACACCAUGGGAGCGGGUUCCGCCAGAAGUAGGUAGCCUAACCGCAAGGGGGGCGCUUACCACGGCGGGGUUCGUGACUGGGGUGAAGUCGUAACAAGGUAGCCGUAGGGGAACCUGCGGCUGGAUCACCUCCUU